rnacentral:lncRNA from 1 species
CUUGUCCACCGGGCCGAGUGGGCGGCCGCGCAGCUUCUCGGCCUCCUGGUAGUGCGCCUCGAGCCACAUGGCCUGCAGCUUGCCGUGAGACUCCUUGGUGAACUUGUGGUUCUCAAGGAUGUGGUAGAGGUCGCGGAAGUUGCCCGUGUGGAAGGCGACCACGGCGCGCGCGCGCAGGAUCGACUCGUGUUUGUUGAUGGCCUCGCACGCCCCGGGGGCCACGGGCAGCGACCAGAGGAAGCGGCCCAGCCGCUCGAUGUCGCCCGUCUCCUCCAGCGUCUCACAGACGCUGGCCACCUGCUCCGGCGAGAAGUUGAGGGUGGGCAGCUGGAACAUGGACAACUCUUCCGGGGGGGCCCUGGAGCCGCCGCCGCCGCCGCCGCCUGCUCCGCCAGCACCGCCGCCUCCCGCACCGUUCCCGCCGCCGCUGCCGCCUCCCGCGCCGCCGCCGCCUCCCGCACCGUUCCCGCCGCCGCUACUCGCCAGAAGUAUGGAGCGGUGGUGAGAAUCGGCGAAGUUUGGCAACAAGAAGUGGGAGGAAUAGAGGUCUAGGGGGGAGCGGAAUACCAUGGACUGACCUGAGAGGAGAGGAGAAAAUUCAGGGAGAGGAAGAGAGAGGGGAGGAAGAGGAGGAGAGGGGCGAUGAGGACCAGGAGGAGGGAGAGGAGAGGGGGGAGGAGGAGAAGGAAAGGAGGGGGGAGCAGGAGGAGGAGGGAGAGGAGGAAGGGCGUAAGGGACACCCACACCCCACACACAUCCACACACACACACACCCGCGCAGCCACAUAGAGAGGGAGGUAGGAGAGCGGCCCGGUGCGCGCGCGCAGAGAGAGAACCCGAGACAGAGAGGGAGAGGGAGAGGGAGAGAGGAGAGGGAGAGCCAACCACCGCCGAGUCAAGAUUCAGCGAUUCCACCGCAAUCGCCCUAAUGACAACAGCCUCAUAAUAUCUCCCCUAAAUCCACAAAUUCAGCUGCCUCUCUGAGGAGUGGUGGAGGAGCUGCGGGAGCCGAGAAGCCCAAGAGCCCUCUGGACCCAGAAAAGUCCUACAGAUGCCCACUCCUCACCACACAACAGAAGGAGCUCUGGUCCUGCCUGCCAGCCCCAGAGGGCACUCAAACUUUGGAGGCCAGCCACCC